rnacentral:rRNA from 1 species
AUACGGAGGGUGCAAGCGUUACUCGGAAUCACUGGGCGUAAAGCGCGCGCAGGCGGCUUGAUAAGUUGGAUGUGAAAGCCUACGGCUCAACCGUAGAACUGCAUCCCAAACUGUCAGGCUAGAGUGUGGGAGAGGAAGAUGGAAUUAGUUGUGUAGGGGUAAAAUCCGUAGAGAUAACUAGGAAUACCAAAAGCGAAGGCAAUCUUCUGGAACACUACUGACGCUGAGGCGCGAAGGCGUGGGGAGCAAACAGGAUUAGAUACCCGAGUAGUCC